CUGGAAGAGCCGCAGUAGGUUUGCCACCUGGGGGAGGAAGAAGAAGGACCUUUGUUAGAAACCCAGAGGACUAGGAGACUCUGGACAAAAUGGCCUAUACUGACUUAUGUAGGCAUAGCAAUAUUGCUUCACUCAGCCUGACUGAAAUGGCAGGUGUCGCCAAACAGGUACUGUCUUACUUCUAGAAUGAGUGCCUGGCUUCCAUUGGAUUUAUGUACCACUAUGGAAGGCUUGGUGAUAGGAGCCCUGUCUGUGCAUAGCUUGACUUUGUUAAGAGGUUUCUGGCUAGCACUGGAGAGGCCAUCUCUUCUUGAUACAAUGAUUUUGUCAUCUUCAAGUUAUAUUAAUCAGGACCUGAACCCCUCAGGGAGACAGAGAAUGAAAGGACCUAAAAAAUAUCUGGACAUUAUUUUCUGGCAGCGAAGAAUCACAGUGAAACGAUCCUAAACUGCUAAAUUUCCUCUCCCAUAGGGAUAGGAGUAAUGAGAAGCUGUUCAAGAAAAAAAAAAAAAGUUCUUGUUUUUCAAUGGUAGGCUUGAUGUCUAACUCUCUGGGAUAUACGAGAAUAAUUUACAAUCAAGGCAGGCUUUGCAAGAGAAUGAACUAGCCAUAGAAUAACAGCAAUGUGGAAAAGAUUCUCUGCAUUGGAAAGGGGCACAAUGAGCUGUAACUUUGGGGAAGGCUGUGGGCUAGAAUAAAACAGCAACUAUUGCCAACAUUUUAAGAAUAAUUUUAUGUUCCUCUGUGUGUGUUUAAUGAGAAGACUACAACUAACUCUAGAAAAAGGAGGCACGUUUGGUGAGUUGAAACAUGAGAUUGGAACACAGUAAGUAUUAUCUCAAUUGUAUCACCUAUAUAUUGAAUAGCAUGGGUGAUAAUAUAGUCAAACUUAGGAUAUUCAGAGUUACAUUAGAAACACAUGUAAUACAAAUGAAUCAUGGAGUGAAGUGCUGAAGUAAUUUUAUCGCAGUGAGCUGCUCCUUUUAAAAUUCGUUUCUUUAGAUUAUAAGGGUUAAAAAUGCUUAAAAGUAAACACCAUGGGAGGCAGUAGAUUAUAAGUCUCUCUCCUUUCUCUUUCUCAUCCACCCCAGCCUUAUUUGUACAGAAGAAUGUUAGUUUGGUUUAUUCAUUUAAAAAAUGUGUUUGUUCUGUUGUAAAACCAAGUACCAAUGUACUGGGUAUGUACACACACACACAAACAUAUUUUGCUCUUUUGAUAGUCACAAUAACUUUUAAUAGUGGUUAUUAUUAUCUCUAUUUUAGAUAUGCAAAAACAGUUAUUCUAGGUGAAGAAACUUGUUCAUAGCCAUAUGGUUAGAAUGUGUGGGUGAAAUCAAGGUGUAAAACCAGGUGUUUUAAAUUCAAGGACUAUGGCUAUCCCCUCACAGCUUCCUCUCUACCUUCUACUGUGUGACUACAAACCUGAACCUUUAAACACAGAAAGGCAUCCAGGUAGAAAGAACAAGAGGAACAGAAGCAAUAUUAUGGUAUACACCAUAGACUGCCUAGUUGCUGUUAGCAGGAACCUUCCUUUUAACAUAAAUUUAAAACUAGGGUUGGGGAAUAUCCAGGUCGUUGUUAACUGGGUUCCUGUCUCAUUUGUCUAAAAGCUUGGUUCUGGAAUAUUCUUGAUUUACUUUACUGGCCAUAUGGUUUCUCUGAGAAAGCAUAAAGAAAUAAAGGAACUCCUACACUGGACAUCAUUUUGAAUGAUAAAAGAAAAAUUGUUUUAGAAUGGAGAAGUAAUGUAAAAUUUUGGAAGAAAGUUACCCAAUUAUGUUAUUAUUAGAUAGAGUGGAGGAAGGAAAAACAGGAUGUAGUUAUAUAUGCUUUGGAAAAAGAAUACUUUAAAAGAGAUAUGCUUCACAUAAAUUAAGACUCCAAAAUGGAAUACAGGAGGACUUAAAAAUAAUUCAUACAAUACAGAAUAGUCUCAACAAGAAAGAGAAGAUGAAAACUCUAAAGAAUCCACUGGACGCUAGGCUGCAUUUGGGGGAUUUUGGUGUUAGAAGAACUAGCAACACAGAAUGGGUGCUGUCUGUAUGUAUGUUGGGGGCAUCCCCAUAUACAACAUAGAAGAUUGACAUGAGCCUGUAAAAAUAAGGGACGCUAAAGCACAGAAUGUGAAAAUGCAUCAAAGUGAUUUUUGUCAUUGGUAUUGUUUUGAUUCGAAAUUAUGUUUCAGAAGAAGAUGUGGCAGGAAGAUAUAGAAUCAUCAAAUGGGAAAGUUGGUUCUAUAUGAAUAAAAGAAAGACGCUGCUCCAUCCCUCUUGCUUUCUCAUUCUCUCCAUUGAGAAUGGUUUCUAACAUGGAAAUGGCAGUACAAAUAAUAUGAAAAGGUUACCAUGCUCAAAAGUAGGAGAGAAUACAAAAAAAAAAAAAA